GCCCCCGUAGCAUAGUAGCCAUUGCGGCUGCUUCGUAAGCAGCAGGUCGAGGGUGCAAUUCCCUCCGGGGGCU
rnacentral:tRNA from 1 species